AACGCUAGCGGCAGGCUUAACACAUGCAAGUCAGGGGCAGCAUGAGACGGAGAUUCGUCAAAGUCUUGAUGGCGACCGGCGCAAGGGUGCGUAACGCGUGAGCAACUUGCCCGUUUCUGGGGAAUAACCGGUGGAAACGUCGUCUAAUCCCCCCAUAUAAUCAUUAUGCCGCAUGGUGAGAUGAUGAAAGCUAAUUGUGGUGACGGAUGGGCAUGCGGUGCAUUAGCUAGUAGGCGGGGUAACGGCCCACCUAGGCUACGAUGCAUAGGGGUUCUGAGAGGAAGGUCCCCCACACUGGUACUGAGACACGGACCAGACUCCUACGGGAGGCAGCAGUGAGGAAUAUUGGUCAAUGGUCGAGAGACUGAACCAGCCAAGUCGCGUGAAGGAAGACGGUUCUAUGGAUUGUAAACUUCUUUAGUCGGGGAGCAAAAAGAGUGACGUGUCACUAAUUGAGCGUACCCGAAGAAUAAGCAUCGGCUAACUCCGUG
rnacentral:rRNA from 1 species